rnacentral:rRNA from 1 species
AAUCCUGGCUCAGGAUUAACGCUAGCGGCAGGCAUAAUACAUGCAAGUUGAACGGGAUAAGUUUUAGCAAUAGAACUUUGAGAGUGGCGCACGGGUGCGUAACACGUAUGCAACCUGCCCCAAACAGGAGGAUAGCCUCUCGAAAGAGAGAUUAAUACUCCAUAAUAAUAUUGUUAGGCAUCUAAUGAUAUUUAAAGCUGAGGCGGUUUGGGAUGGGCAUGCGGUUGAUUAGGUAGUUGGUGAGGUAACGGCUCACCAAGCCAACGAUCAAUAGGGGGUCUGAGAGGAUGUCCCCCCACACUGGUACUGAGAUACGGACCAGACUCCUACGGGAGGCAGCAGUAGGGAAUAUUGGACAAUGGGGGCAACCCUGAUCCAGCCAUGCCGCGUGCAGGAAGACUGCCCUAUGGGUUGUAAACUGCUUUUGUACGGGAAGAAACCUCACUACGUGUAGUGAGUUGACGGUACCGUGAGAAUAAGGAUCGGCUAACUUCGUG